rnacentral:rRNA from 1 species
ACGCUGGCGGUGUGCCUCAUACAUGCAAGUCGAACGAUAAGGUUCCUUCGGGAAUACAUAAGUGGCGGACGGGUGAGUACAACAUAGGAAAUCUGCCCUAAAGCGGGGGAGUAACAGAGGGAAACUUCUGCUAAUACCCCAUAUGAGCUUGGUUGAAAUACCAAUCUUGAAAGAUUUAUCACUUUAGGAUGAGCCUGUGCCUGAUUAGCUAGUAGGUGAGGUAAAGGCUCACCUAGGCGACGAUCUCUAGCUGGUCUGAGAGGAUGAUCAGCCACAUUGGGACUGAGACACGGCCCAGACUCCUACGGGAGGCAGCAGUAGGGAAUAUUGCACAAUGGAGGAAACUCUGAUGCAGCCAUGCCGCGUGUGUGAAGAAGGCCUUCGGGUUGUAAAGCGCUUUCGGAGGGGAGGAGAAUGACGUUACCCUCAGAAGAAGCACCGGCUAACUCCGUGCCAGCAGCGGC